rnacentral:misc_RNA from 1 species
ACCCUGUGUUGUUUUCAACGCAGAGAUUGUCCAGGCGCCGGAUCUGAGACAGUACUUAUCACAUCGGUACGACUGGGUCUCAGCCGGUCAGCUCAUGGGUGGAACAUUGACAUUGGUGCGGAGCCGAACGGCUCGAACUUAGUACGCCUGCUUGCAGGAAGGAACAGUUCGGACCGGGGAGCCUCGCACAUGCACGCUGUUGGGUCCUGAGGGACCGGACCUCAUCGCUGUGUCUUCAAGACGCUGAGAUGAGAACCGAAUCCUCUGGACCUUUUUUGGUCGGCCAUAACUGGGCCGGCGGAAAAGGUACCGCCCGUACUUUGAGAACUACACAGUGGACGCGAGCAUCUUAGAUUCGGACCUUCGGGUUCGGAUCACAAAAGAUGAUCAUAGUACUUUCGAGUACUGAUUAGAUCAUUGGUCAAUCUGCUCACUUCGGA